CCCCUCUCAGGGUCGCACCUGGAGAGUUUCCAGUACUCUACCAGUCUUGAUUAUGGGAGGGAGAGCGAAGCAGAGGCAUAUCCAUUCCACUCCUAGUUUGGGCAGUGGCUAGUGAGUGGACGACAAUCUGCUACAAGU